GCAAUGCCGCGUGAGUGAAGAAGGCCCUCGGGUUGUAAAGCUCUUUUGUCAGGGAAGAAACGGUCUACUCUAAUACAGUGGGCUAAUGACGGUACCUGAAGAAUAAGCACCGGCUAACUACGUGCCAGCAGCCGCGGUAAUACGUAGGGUGCAAGCGUUAAUCGGAAUUACUGGGCGUAAAGCGUGCGCAGGCGGUUUUAUAAGUCUGAUGUGAAAUCCCCGGGCUCAACCUGGGAACUGCAUUGGAGACUGUAAGGCUAGAGUGUGUCAGAGGGGGGUAGAAUUCCACGUGUAGCAGUGAAAUGCGUAGAUAUGUGGAGGAAUACCGAUGGCGAAGGCAGCCCCCUGGGAUAACACUGACGCUCAUGCACGAAAGCGUGGGGAGCAAACAGGAUUAGAUACCCUGGUAGUCCACGCCCUAAACGAUGUCUACUAGUUGUCGGGUCUUAAUUGACUUGGUAACGCAGCU
rnacentral:rRNA from 1 species